rnacentral:rRNA from 1 species
AGAUUAGCCAUGCAUGUCUAAGUAUAAGCAAUUAUACCGCGAAACUGCGAAUGGCUCAUUAUAUAAGUUAUCGUUUAUUUGAUAGUACCUUACUACUUGGAUAACCGUGGUAAUUCUAGAGCUAAUACAUGCUAAAAAUCCCGACUUCGGAAGGGAUGUAUUUAUUAGAUUAAAAACCAAUGCCCUUCGGGGCUCACUGGUGAUUCAUGAUAACUCCUCGAAUCGCAUGGCCUUGUGCCGGCGAUGGUUCAUUCAAAUUUCUUCCCUAUCAACUUUCGAUGUUUGGGUAUUGGCCAAACAUGGUUGCAACGGGUAACGGAGGGUUAGGGCUCGACCCCGGAGAAGGAGCCUGAGAAACGGCUACUACAUCCAAGGAAGGCAGCAGGCGCGCAAAUUACCCAAUCCCGACACGGGGAGGUAGUGACAAUAAAUACUGAUACAGGGCUCUUUUGGGUCUUGUAAUUGGAAUGAGUACAAUUUAAAUCCCUUAACGAGGAACAAUUGGAGGGCAAGUCUGGUGCCAGCAGCCGCGGUAAUUCCAGCUCCAAUAGCGUAUAUUAAAGUUGUUGUGGUUAAAAAGCUCGUAGUUGAACCUUGGGCCUGGCCGUCCGGUCCGCCUCACCGCGUGUACUGGCUCGGCCGGGCCUUUCCCUCUGUGGAACCCCAUGCCCUUCACUGGGCGUGGCGGGGAAACAGGACUUUUACUGUGAAAAAAUUAGAGUGCUCCAGGCAGGCCUAUGCUCGAAUACAUUAGCAUGGAAUAAUAGAAUAGGACGUGUGGUUCUAUUUUGUUGGUUUCUAGGACCGCCGUAAUGAUUAAUAGGGACAGUCGGGGGCAUCAGUAUUCAAUUGUCAGAGGUGAAAUUCUUGGAUUUAUUGAAGACUAACUACUGCGAAAGCAUUUGCCAAGGAUGUUUUCAUUAAUCAGGAACGAAAGUUAGGGGAUCGAAGACGAUCAGAUACCGUCGUAGUCUUAACCAUAAACUAUGCCGACUAGGGAUCGGACGGUGUUAUUUUUUGACCCGUUCGGCACCUUACGAGAAAUCAAAGUGCUUGGCUCCAGGGGAGUAUUCCACC